UCUAUCUCUCUCUUUCACAUUCUUCUUGUGGGCGCCGACGCCGUCGUCCGCAACGGCCACGCAGUAGCUCGGCCGCCACGCGUCGUCGUCGAACGCGUGCCUCAGCACCGACGUAUCCCGAACCGACUUGAAGCAGAGCUCAGCCUGAUCAUCUAUCGUCGUCAUCUCGCUGCCGCCUCUCCCCACCGCCUCUACCCUCUCUUAAAUCUCCCUCUGAUCGUCACCUCGCCACUGCCUUGCAUGAAAUAGACAGAAGCAAACCAAAGUCGAGCCCUGCUCGCUGCUCCCAUUCCGUUCACCAUCACCGGCCACCAUCUCUCCCUCUCCAGUCCAUAGCACCGGCCAUCUCCAACAGAGAAGAAGGUCAUUGAGGCCUACUCCUCCCUUCCUCUGGAGCCAUACCGCUUCGCGCGGCCUGAAUCGUCGUAGCCGAGCUCAAGCUCGCCGGAGUUGGGGUCCCGGCCGCCGGCGUUCGUUCGUGAAAUUCGUCGUUCCCGUUGCUCCUCACCCAAUUUUGCAGUCUAUCAAGCCAUUGCAGGAGCUGACGUGGACCCAGACAACUACGUUGAAGCUCCCAAAGAACCACAUAUUGCAAGGAUGUAAGAGUGACUCUGUACAUCUCUCGAAAGUACUCAAAUACCUGAAGAUAGCACCAGGAUGGCAAUGGCAACAAGCA